CAGCCUCUCCUAUCUACAGACACCAGUCCAGGGUAACUCCUGUAUUCGACAGGGGUUCCAGAUGGCACCAGUCCAGCUCCCGACAGAGGGAAUGGCAGCCUCUCACAC